rnacentral:rRNA from 1 species
GACGAACCGUGCGAACGUUAUUCGGAAUCAUUGGGCUUAAAGGGCGCGUAGGCGGCGGUGUAAGUUGGAAGUGAAAUCCCAUCGGCUCAACCGUGGAAUUGCUCCCAGUACUGCAUCGCUCGAGGGGGAUAGGGGUUUGCGGAACUACCGGUGGAGCGGUGAAAUGUGUUGAUAUCGGUGGGAACGCCAGUGGCGAAAGCGGCAAACUUGACCCUUCCUGACGCGUGAUGCGCGAAAGCUAGGGGAGCAAA